rnacentral:rRNA from 1 species
GACGAACGCUGGCGGCGUGCCUAAUACAUGCAAGUCGAGCGCAGGAAACUGACGGAACUCUUCGGAGGGAAGGCAGUGGAAUGAGCGGCGGACGGGUGAGUAACACGUAAGGAACCUGCCUCAAGGAUUGGGAUAACUCCGAGAAAUCGGAGCUAAUACCGGAUAGUUCAACGGACCGCAUGGUCCGCCGAUGAAAGGCGCUUCGGCGUCACCUUGAGAUGGCCUUGCGGUGCAUUAGCUAGUUGGUGGGGUAACGGCCCACCAAGGCGACGAUGCAUAGGCGACCUGAGAGGGUGAUGGGGCACACUGGGACUGAGAAACGACCCAGACUCCUACAGGAGGCAGCAGUAGGGAAUCUUCCACAAUGGACGAAAGGCUGAUGGAGCAACGCCGCGUGAGUGAUGAAGGUUUUCGGAUCGUAAAACUCUGUUGUAAGGGAAGAACACGUACGAGAGGAAAUGCUCGUACCUUGACGGUACCUUACGAGAAAGCCACGGCUAACUACGUGCCAGCCGCCGCCGUAAUAC